rnacentral:lncRNA from 1 species
UCUAUUUUCCACAUAGGAUUAGCUAGUAUGAAAUGCUCAUACCUCUGUGCAACCAACUUUGCUGUCACAAGCUUGUUGACUCUGUUUUGUGCACAUUCAUGAUGAUCAUUGAAAGUGAUAACUUGAAAUCUUGCUGUUCUUGACCUUUUUGCUGCAUAUAUGAGCCAGGGGCAACCAUCCCAUCCACACUUGGCCCUCACUCUAUCACUCUCUGAUUUAAUGAAUCUGAUACUCCUCUUAGUAACCAGACCAUAUCUUCUCAAAGCUUUGCAGAAUUGGUUCUUGCUUCUAAAAACCAUGCUCAAUGCAAAAUGUGGUAUCUCAGUGUCAUUGUUAUACCUGAUGAACUGGCU